rnacentral:rRNA from 1 species
AUUGAACGCUGGCGGCAGGCCUAACACAUGCAAGUCGAACGAGUGGCGGACGGGUGAGUAAUGUCUGGGAAACUGCCCGAUGGAGGGGGAUAACUACUGGAAACGGUAGCUAAUACCGCAUACCCUCGGAUGUGCCCAGAUGGGAUUAGCUGGUAGGUGAGGUAACGGCUCACCUAGGCGACGAUCACUACCUGGUCUGAGAGGAUGACCAGCGACACUGGGACUGAGACACGGGCCAGACGCCUACGGGAGGUAGCAGUGGGGAAUAGUGCACAAUGGGCGCAAGCGUGAUGCAGCCAGGCCGCGUGUAUGAAGAAGGCCUUAGGGUUGUAAAGUACUUUCAGCGGGGAGGCGUUACCCGCAGAAGAAGCACCGGCUAACUCCGUGCCAGCAGACGCGGUAAUAC